rnacentral:rRNA from 1 species
UACGGGGGGUGCAAGCGUUGUCCGGAAUCACUGGGCGUAAAGGGCGCGUAGGUGGCGUCGUAAGUCUGUGGUGAAAGCCCGGAGCUCAACUCCGGGUCUGCCGCGGAUACUGCGAGGCUUGAGUGCUGUAGAGGGGGGUAGAAUGCCGGGUGUAGCGGUGGAAUGCGUAGAGAUCCGGCAGAAGACCAGUGGCGAAGGCGGCCCCCUGGGCAGUAACUGACACUGAGGCGCGACAGCGUGGGGAGCAAACAGG